rnacentral:rRNA from 1 species
GAUGAACGCUGGCGGCGUGCUUAAUACAUGCAAGUCGAGCGAACAGACGCGGAGUUUGCUCCUUUGUCGUUUGCCGCGGACGGGUGUGUAACAUGUGGAUAACCUACCUAUCUGACUGGGAUAAUCUCGGGAAACCGGAGCUUAUACCGGAUAAUAUAUUGAUCCGUAUGGUUCAUUAGUGAAUGUCGGUUUUGCUGUCUCUUAUAGAUGGUUACCAGCCGCUUUAGCUAGUUGGUAAGGUAACGGCGUAUCAAGGCAACGAUGCGUAGCCGACGUGCGAGAGUGAUCGGCCACACGGGAACUGAGACAGGGUCCAGAGGCCUACGAGAGGCAGCAGAAGGGAAUCUGCCGCAAUAGGCGAAAGCCUGACAGAGCGACGCCGCGUGAGUGAUAAAGAUGUUCGGAUCGUAAAACUCUGUUAUGAGGGAAAAACAAAUGUGUAAGGAACUAUAGAGGGCUUGACGGUAACUAAUCAAAAAGCCACGGCUAACUACGUG